rnacentral:rRNA from 1 species
CGGCAUGGCGCAGCUACACAUGCAGUCGAGCGGGGGAAGGUAGCUUGCUACCGGACCUAGCGGCGGACGGGUGAGUAAUGCUUAGGAAUCUGCCUAUUAGUGGGGGACAACAUCUCGAAAGGGAUGCUAAUACCGCAUACGUCCUACGGGAGAAAGCAGGGGAUCUUCGGACCUUGCGCUAAUAGAUGAGCCUAAGUCGGAUUAGCUAGUUGGUGGGGUAAAGGCCUACCAAGGCGACGAUCUGUAGCGGGUCUGAGAGGAUGAUCCGCCACACUGGGACUGAGACACGGCCCAGACUCCUACGGGAGGCAGCAGUGGGGAAUAUUGGACAAUGGGGGGAACCCUGAUCCAGCCAUGCCGCGUGUGUGAAGAAGGCCUUAUGGUUGUAAAGCACUUUAAGCGAGGAGGAGGCUACUUUAGUUAAUACCUAGGGAUAGUGGACGUUACUCGCAGAAUAAGCACCGGCUAACUCUGUGCCAGCAGCCGCGGUAAUACAGAGGGUGCGAGCGUUAAUCGGAUUUACUGGGCGUAAAGCGUGCGUAGGCGGCUUAUUAAGUCGGAUGUGAAAUCCCCGAGCUUAACUUGGGAAUUGCAUUCGAUACUGGUGAGCUAGAGUAUGGGAGAGGAUGGGUAGAAUUCCAGGUGUAGCGGUGAAAUGCGUAGAGAUCUGGAGGAAUACCGAUGGCGAAGGCAGCCAUCUGGCCUAAUACUGACGCUGAGGUACGAAAGCAUGGGGAGCAAACAGGAUUAGAUACCCUGGUAGUCCAUGCCGUAAACGAUGUCUACUAGCCGUUGGGGCCUUUGAGGCUUUAGUGGCGCAGCUAACGCGAUAAGUAGACCGCCUGGGGAGUACGGUCGCAAGACUAAAACUCAAAUGAAUUGACGGGGGCCCGCACAAGCGGUGGAGCAUGUGGUUUAAUUCGAUGCAACGCGAGAACCUUACCUGGUCCUUGACAUACUAGAAACUUUCCAGAGAUGGAUUGUGCCUUUCGGAAUCUAG